AGUCAUCCCCACCCGCAAGCUCUCGCGGCGCAGCCGCCCGCCCAGGCCGCCAACCCGCACCUGCUUCGGUUGCAUUCUUAAAGGGCCAAGUGUUGACGACCAGGGGCAGAGGGCUGGAGCAGCGCACUAGGGCCUGGCAGAGCAGAAACGGCACGAGAAGCACAGGCAAGUUCGACUUCCGCGCCAUCCCUGACCACCGAAGAGACCAGCGCGAGAAAAGUCCCGGCAGCCAGCGAUCGCCGAACAAUUAAUCCCCAGUGCCCCGCCCGCCUGGCGCCCACGCCCGCUCUCUCGGGGGUUCGCUCAGGCGUCCCUCAACUCUCGCGAGACGAGGCGUCCCUGGGCCCGCGGGAGAGUUGUGUCACGGGGCACUGAGCUGUUCCCUGCGCUAAGGUCUCGCUGUGUUUCCCAGGCUGGGUGCAGUGGCUAUUCAAAGGUACAAUGAUAGCUCACUGCAGCCUGGAACUCCUGGACUCAAGCGAUCCUCCUGCCUCAGCUGCGACUAACAGCUCCAAGUUUAGAAGACCCUACGACGUGACUCAGUAAGUGGCCUCACCUUCAUCCGAUUGCUCAGAAUUAAAACCUAGAAGUCAUCCUUGAUUUUCUCCUCUCAAAUCUGUCUCCAUUCAUCAGCACGUGCUUUUGACUCGAUGAAACGCUCCAAACACAACUGCUUCCCACCGCCUCCACUGCUGCCUCUUGUCCCUGCAGCAUCAUCUCUCACCCACAUUGGCCACAGCGGCUUGUUGUUGGUGUUCCUGCUUCUACUUUUGACUUGUUUCUAUUGUCUUCCAUGCCCACUGGAACUGUAAUUAUUUUUUGCAAAUGUAAGUUAGAUAAUGACAUUCCACUGUUAAAAAAAAAACAAAACAGAAAACAAAAUGAAAGAACAAAAUAAAAAUGUCUAGUGACCCCCUGUUACACCUAGCCGAAAAUCCUUACUUGGCCCAGAAGGGCCUAGAUUCUCAGUCUUGACUGCACAUGGGAAAUCACCUGGGGACUUGAAAAAUACUGACUUUAGCUGGGUCUGGGGAAUUGUGUGUGUGUGUAUGUGUGUGUGAGAUGGAGCUUCGCUUUUAUUGCCCGGGCUACAGUGCAAUGGCACCAUCUCAGCUCACCGCAACCUCCGCCUCCCCAGUUCAAGCCGUUCUCCUGCCUCAGCCUCCCGAGUAGGUGGGAUUACAGGCAUGCACCAUGACGCCCGGCUAAUUUUUUCUAUUUUUGGUAGAGACGGGGGUUUCUCCAUGUUGGUCAGGCUGGUCUCGAACUCCUGACCUCAGGUGAUCCACCUGCCUCGGCCUCCCAAAGUGCUGGGAUUACAGGCGUGAGCCACCGCGCCCAGCCGGCACAGGGAAUUUAAAAGCUUCCCAGAAGUUUCUGAUGUAUAACCAAGAUUGAGAGCUACUCUAGGAUCCUUCCACCACUCUCUUCCUCUCUCUAUCUCCACCCCAGUUGCUUACUUGCUGUGUUUUGAGCACACUCUGAUCCUUUCCACCCCAAAGCAUGGAUCAUUCUUGCCCCAGAUAUUUGCAUGAGCUAUUCUUUCACACAAAGAGGUCUCUGCUCAAAUGUUACCUUUUCAAAUAUAUUUUCCCCAACGAACCUACCUAAUGACUAUUUUUUUACCCUGUAUAUUUUUAGUUUUUAUAUGAAAUUAUAUUACUUGCUUCUUUACCUGUUUAUUGGUGCUCUUCCUCACAAGCAUGUAAGUGCAUGAAGAUAGACACCUUGUCUUAUUCACUAAGACAUUAUCACCCUGGCAUAUAGCGUGCUUGGAACUCAUUCUCUGAUUAGUGUUUUUCAGUGAAAAAAAUGAGGAUUACUCAAGGUUCUGGGAUCUGGAUUUGCUACAAGUAGCUAAUUGUAGCUUAUGGAUUCUCUGGUUUGUAAGGCUUUUGUUGCUUUUGUUCUAUUUGCAACCCUAGACUUUCCUUCCAGAAAUAGUCAUCUGGGCGUGGUGCCUCACACAUGUAAUCCCCAUACUGACACAGGUCGAUCACUUGAGGCCAGGAGUUCGAGAUCAGCCUGGCCGAUAUGGUGAAAUCCCCUCUCUAUUGAAAACACAA
rnacentral:lncRNA from 10 species